GCUAGGGUAUAACAUUGUCCUUGUGUGUGUAAUACAGCACCCUGUUUAUAGGUGUGCUAGGGUAUAACAUUGUCCUUGUGUGUGUAAUACAGCACCCUGUUUAUAGGUGUGCUAGGGUAUAACAUUGUCCUUGUGUGUGUAAUACAGCACCCUGUUUAUAGGUGUGCUAGGGUAUAACAUUGUCCUUGUGUGUGUGUAAUACAGCACCCUGUUUAUAGGUGUGCUAGGGUAUAACAUUGUCCUUGUGUGUGUAAUACAGCACCCUGUUUAUAGGUGUCCUUAUUGGUGUCUUCACAGACAGAAAUCAUUAAAAAAAUAAUGUUUUC